rnacentral:rRNA from 1 species
UACGUAGGGUGCAAGCGUUGUCCGGAAUUAUUGGGCGUAAAGAGCUCGUAGGCGGUUUGUCGCGUCUGCUGUGAAAACUGGGGGCUCAACCCCCAGCCUGCAGUGGGUACGGGCAGACUAGAGUGCGGUAGGGAGAUUGGAAUUCCUGGUGUAGCGGUGGAAUGCGCAGAUAUCAGGAGGAACACCGAUGGCGAAGGCAGAUCUCUGGCCGUAACUGACGCUGAGGAGCGAAAGCAUGGGAGCGAACAGG